rnacentral:lncRNA from 1 species
UCGGUGGGGCCCUCAGGUGGUGGUGCUGGAGUGGCAAUGUGGAAGUACUGGCACAACUGCUGUAUUAUAGCCUACAUAUCAUCCAUCUGUCGGUCCCGUCAAUGAUCUCGCUCGUGGAUCAUCUCGAACUGCGUAGUGCAGUACUGCUCGAAGUGGGCGAAUCGGUCAGAAAGAUGUGCCAAUGAAGCAGCCGCAGGAACUGGUCGUUCUCUAGGUGGUGCGAUCGAAGGCUCCUCAUGCUGUGGGGGAACAUCAUCAAGAAUGUCCUCAAGAUCCUCCUCGUUAAUAGCAUACGAGAGACGGU